rnacentral:rRNA from 1 species
UGCAGUCGACGAAGUAGCAAUACUUAGUGGCAGACGGGUGAGUAACAUGUGGGUAUCUUCCCUUUGGUGAGGAAUAACACGAGGAAACUUGUGCUAAUACCUCAUAAGUCUUUACGGAGAAAGCUUUAUGCGCCAAUGGAUGAGCCCGCACUUGAUUAGUUUGUUGGUGGGGUAAUGGCCUACCAAGACUUUGAUCAAUAGCUGAUCUGAGAGGAUGAUCAGCCACAUUGGGACUGAGACACGGCCCAAACUCCUACGGGAGGCAGCAGUAGGGAAUAUUGCACAAUGGAGGAAACUCUGAUGCAGCGAUGCCGCGUGAGUGAAGAAGGCCUUUGGGUUGUAAAGCUCUUUCGUCGGGGAAGAAAAUGACGGUACCCGAAUAAGAAGGUCCGGCUAACUUCGUGCCAGCAGCCGCGGUAAUACGAAGGGACCUAGCGUAGUUCGGAAUUACUGGGCUUAAAGAGUUCGUAGGUGGUUAAAAAAGUUGGUUGUGAAAUCCCGAAGCUUAACUUCGGAACUGCAAUCAAAACUUUUUAGCUAGAGUAUGAUAGAGGAAAGCAGAAUUUCUAGUGUAGAGGUGAAAUUCGUAGAUAUUAGAAAGAAUACCAAUUGCGAAGGCAGCUUUCUGGAUCAUUACUGACGCUGAGGAACGAAAGCAUGGGUAGCGAAGAGGAUUAGAUACCCUCGUAGUCCAUGCCGUAAACGAUGUGUGUUAGACGUUGGAAAUUUAUUUUCAGUGUCGCAGCGAAAGCAGUAAACACACCGCCUGGGGAGUACGACCGCAAGGUUAAAACUCAAAUGAAUUUGACGGGGACCCGCACAA